rnacentral:tRNA from 1 species
UAAAGCCUGCAAGACUCUACUUACAU